GCGUGAAUGGCGGAAUUGGCAGACGCACUAGACUUAGGAUCUAGCGGGGCAACCCGUGGGGGUUCGACUCCCCCUUCGCGCA
rnacentral:tRNA from 1 species